CGGAUGGCCGAGUGGUUUAGGCGAUAGCCUUUUACUCCAUGGGUCAGUGGUUCGAGCCCAGUUGAUGA
rnacentral:tRNA from 1 species